GAUGGAAGUUUUCCUGCUGCAACGCUUAAGCUCCGGUGAACACAAGGCUGGACUGCUCGCCCUGCAGGGCUGGCUGAGCUCUCCCCCACUGCUCACGUCACUAGACUCCGCCUCCCGGAUUUUAUAACAACUGACACAUUGUAGCCUACAGGAGAGCAGAACUCACUGCAAGCAAAAAGGGGAAGAAACGCUCACAAAAGGGAAGGCAGCAGGAAAAGUAAUCGGGUUGAGCUGUGGAAAUGUGUUCUUCAACGUUGGAGGUGGGAUCUGGUGGGCAGUGUUUGGAUCAUGGGGAUGGAUCCCUCAGGAAUGGCUUGGUGUCCACCCCACGGUAAUGGGUUCACAAGAGAUCUGGUUGAUGAAGAGUCUGGGACCUCGCUCCUCUUCCUUGCUUCCUCACUCACCAUGUGAUAUGCCUGCACCUUCCACCAUGAUUGGAAGCUUCCUGAGGCCUCAUCAGAAGCCAAGCAGAUGCUGGUGUUAUGCUGGUAUAGCCUGCAGA
rnacentral:lncRNA from 10 species